rnacentral:rRNA from 1 species
GACGAACGCUGGCGGCGUGCUUAACACAUGCAAGUCGAACGGAAAGGCCCUGCUUUUGUGGGGUGCUCGAGUGGCGAACGGGUGAGUAACACGUGAGUAACCUGCCCUUGACUUUGGGAUAACUUCAGGAAACUGGGGCUAAUACCGGAUAGGAGCUCCUGCUGCAUGGUGGGGGUUGGAAAGUUUCGGCGGUUGGGGAUGGACUCGCGGCUUAUCAGCUUGUUGGUGGGGUAGUGGCUUACCAAGGCUUUGACGGGUAGCCGGCCUGAGAGGGUGACCGGCCACAUUGGGACUGAGAUACGGCCCAGACUCCUACGGGAGGCAGCAGUGGGGAAUAUUGCACAAUGGGCGGAAGCCUGAUGCAGCAACGCCGCGUGCGGGAUGACGGCCUUCGGGUUGUAAACCGCUUUCGCCUGUGACGAAGCGUGAGUGACGGUAAUGGGUAAAGAAGCACCGGCUAACUACGUGCCAGCAGCCGCGGUGAUACGUAGGGUGCGAGCGUUGUCCGGAUUUAUUGGGCGUAAAGGGCUCGUAGGUGGUUGAUCGCGUCGGAAGUGUAAUCUUGGGGCUUAACCCUGAGCGUGCUUUCGAUACGGGUUGACUUGAGGAAGGUAGGGGAGAAUGGAAUUCCUGGUGGAGCGGUGGAAUGCGCAGAUAUCAGGAGGAACACCAGUGGCGAAGGCGGUUCUCUGGGCCUUUCCUGACGCUGAGGAGCGAAAGCGUGGGGAGCGAACAGGCUUAGAUACCCUGGUAGUCCACGCUGUAAACGGUGGGUACUAGGUGUGGGGUCCAUUCCACGGGUUCCGUGCCGUAGCUAACGCUUUAAGUACCCCGCCUGGGGAGUACGGCCGCAAGGCUAAAACUCAAAGGAAUUGACGGGGCCCCGCACAAGCGGCGGAGCAUGCGGAUUAAUUCGAUGCAACGCGUAGAACCUUACCUGGGUUUGACAUGGAUCGGGAGUGCUCAGAGAUGGGUGUGCCUCUUUUGGGGUCGGUUCACAGGUGGUGCAUGGCUGUCGUCAGCUCGUGUCGUGAGAUGUUGGGUUAAGUCCCGCAACGAGCGCAACCCUUGUUCACUGUUGCCAGCACGUUAUGGUGGGGACUCAGUGGAGACCGCCGGGGUCAACUCGGGGGAAGGUGGGGAUGACGUCAAGUCAUCAUGCCCCUUAUGUCCAGGGCUUCACGCAUGCUACAAUGGCUGGUACAGAGAGUGGCGAGCCUGUGAGGGUGAGCGAAUCUCGGAAAGCCGGUCUCAGUUCGGAUUGGGGUCUGCAACUCGACCUCAUGAAGUCGGAGUCGCUAGUAAUCGCAGAUCAGCAACGCUGCGGUGAAUACGUUCCCGGG